GCAGAACAGAACAGCCCAAGCGUGAGCACAAAACAUUAAACUGCGCCUGUAGUUGACGUUCUGCAUGGAGACAAGACAGUGCUCUUUUUAUACCAGCAACUUUGCAGACCACCCUAGCAACCACCCAUUAACACCCUGGCAACAGCCUGCCAACAAGUGUCCAUCGAUGUGCCCUUCCAGUUCAUUUCACUCAUACCAGUGACCUCAAAGGCCACCUUAGCAGCGGCCUAGCAACCACAGAGAACACAGCAAGCAACUUUGAGGUGAGUCACUGACAUUUCCUUCAGAAAACCCUAGUUUAGAUUGUGAAAUUGUCGAAUUGUAAACCAAGCGUCAUCAAAUCCACCACUCAAACCUGCAGCUUCAAGUGCUUCCUGUGACACACCGAGUCUGACUUCCUUGAGCACUUGAUGCACAAACACACAGUUCAGGAGGGAUACGUGUAAUCCUCAGCGCUGUUUAUACAGCCAGUUACUGCAAACCACUAUAUAGAGCAAACUCCAAACCUCCUCUGAAAAAUAACAUCCCCUCACAAACAGCAACACGUCGCAACCGCACAAUGUAGCUAACCAGCUCUAAACCACACCGCUUAGUUCAACAUCCCACCAUGGUGCACUCCAGGGGCAAACUACAUCAACACCUCCCUGCCCCAUUUUUCCUCACCUCUCUUAUUUUAUCUUACCUCUCUGUGCUCUCUUAUUGCCCUCUCCCUGCAUUCUUCUCUCUUUUCUCUCUCUCCACACAUAAUUGAUUAAGGGCCGCUUCCAUAAAUCAAUUUGGUAUGGGCAUCAGUCGGUAAUGAAUGGGGGAAGCCCCCCUCCGAGUGUCCAGUAUUAAUCUAGCACAGCAGGCUCUUCCACUCAGAACUCUCUGUCUUUCUCUCUUUUUCUCCCUGUCUUUUUUCCUUUCACAAACACGCACACACUCACAUACACAAACUGGACACAACUGGCAAAAACACACUCUAUAAGCUCAGAGGGGAGCUGCUUCUCAUCCUGGAUGAAAGAGAAAGAGAGGGACGACUGGAAAGGAUGGAAAAAUGAACGGACAGGCAUCUGAAAGAGAGAACUUGUGGUAAAACCCGGUGAUGGGAGAGCAGAAAAGGAGUGAUGGCAGGAGUAUAUACUCUUGAUCCCUCACAGCCACAUUGUCUCUGAACAAUGUUCCAAAGAAAACUGAA